rnacentral:lncRNA from 1 species
UGACUUUCAAUAGAUCGCAGCGAGGGAGCUGCUCUGCUACGUACGAAACCCCGACCCAGAAGCAAGUCGUCUACGAAUGGUUUAGCGCCAGGUUCCCCACGAACGUGCGUUGCGUGACGGGCGAGAGGGCGGCCGCCUUUCCGGCCGCGCCCCGUUUCCCAGGACAAAGGGCACUCCGCACCGGACCCUGGUCCCAGCGCGGGGCGGGGCGGCCCGCCGGCGGGGACCGGCUAUCCGAGGCCAACCGAGGCGCCGCGGGGCUGCCGUAUCGUUCCGCCUGGGCGGGAUUCUGACUUAAGAGGCGUUCAGUCAUAAUCCCACAGAUGGUAGCUUCGCCCCAUUGGCUCCUCAGCCAAUGGGAU